CCUACGGGUGGCAGCAGUGAGGAAUAUUGGUCAAUGGACGCGAGUCUGAACCAGCCAAGUAGCGUGAAGGAUGACUGCCCUAUGGGUUGUAAACCUCUUUUGUCGGGGAGCAAAAGCCGGACGUGUCCGGCUGUGAGAGUACCCGAAGACAAAGCAUCGGCUAACUCCGUGCCAGCAGCCGCGGUACUACGGAGGAUGCGAGCGUUAUCGGGAUUUAUUGGGUUUAAAGGGUGCGCAGGCGGAUUUUGAAGUCAGCGGUCAAAUCGCGGGGCUCAACCCCAUCCAGCCGUUGAAACUGGGGAUCUAGAGUGUGCGAGAGGUAUGCGGAAUGCGUGGUGUAGCGGUGAAAUGCAUAGAUAUCACGCAGAACCCCGAUUGCGAAGGCAGCAUACCGGUGAACAACUGACGCUCAGGCACGAAAGCGUGGGUAUCGAACAGGAUUAGAUACCCUAGUAGUC
rnacentral:rRNA from 1 species